rnacentral:lncRNA from 1 species
AAGUAGCUAGUUCCGCUUUUCACCAAAUUAGAAAUAUUUGGAAAAAAAGAAAGAGAAGAAGAUAUUAGAAUUUAUGUGGGCGAGACUUAAGUAUUAUAAUUGCUGGAAGUCUUGCUACAUGUAAAUCUGGUGUCUCUCUUCUUUUCCUUUUUUUUUCUAGUUUUUAUUCUACGAGGUUUUUACGACGAUUUUUGUUACGAGGUGUUUACGACGAAAUCAUCCUACGUGGAAUUAAAGAGUGCCUCCUUCGUCAUUUACUUUACGUGGUAUUUACGUCUAUUUACCUUACGAGGUCUUUACGACGAUUCCGUCCUACGUGGAAUUAACGGGUUUCGCUUUCUUUAUUUUUUUUAGUUUCGUCGUUAUUUCCACGUAAGAUAACGAGGUCUUUACGACGAUUCCGUCCUACGUGGAAUUAACGGGUUUCGCUUUCUUUAUUUUUUUUUGUUUCGUCGUUAUUUCCACGUAAGAUAACGAGGUCUUUACGACGAUUCUGUCCUACGUGGAAUAAACGAGGAUUACGUCGUACAUUCGACGUCAACUUACGAGGAAUUAACGAGUAUUUCGUUUAAUUCCCUAAAAUCCGAAACCCCAAACCCCAAAACCCCAUAUUCCUUAUCUUCUACUUCAUAUAUUCCAAACCCCAUCUUUAUUUUCAUUCCAAACCACAAUUCCCACAUUUACUUAUUUAUAAAACAAACUCCCACAAUUUCUUAUUCAUAAAACAAACUCCCA